UAUGAUUAUGGACGACAAGGUACGUACAGUACAUUCUUCUGGUUUUAGCUUAAAUUCAAAAAUACAAUAUCGCUAUUUGACGUCUAUGAACAUAUUUAACAUGUAUAAGAAAAUAUGUUAAUUAUUUGGUAUGCAUUUAUAAUAUAUAUUCAAGAAUGUGUAGCUGUCAGAAUUCAAUAUUUUCUACAGUCUGGAUUAUGGAUAUCACCAAGACAGUGUUUUCUUCUUCUUCUUUUUCGAUGGUAGUGGUGGUGUUUUGGUAACACAGAGAACAUUGGUAUAACGAAACGGGAUUCCCAGAGCAAUAACACAGUUCAGGAACCGCAGAUAAAAUACUGGAAGUAUAGAUUUCAUUUAAUGUUAAUUUGAUAUUAAUGCUUAUAUCCAAUUAAAGGGACUGUCCCGAGUUUAAUAUUGGAAGUGUGGUUUUAAUUUCAUGUUAAUUUGAUAUAUCAAAUUAAAGGGAAUAUCAUCAGUUUAAUACUAGAAAUGUGGUUUUCAUUUCAUGUUAAUUUAAUAUUAAUGCUUAUAUUCAAUUAAAGGGAAUAUGCUCAGUUUAAUAUUGGAAGUGUGCUUUUCGUGCUUAUAUCCAAUUAAGUUUCAAGCACGUUGUCCUGGACACACACACACACACAAACACACACACACACA